AACAUUAUAGCGAAUUAUGUAUCUUAAAUUGUACGGUGGUAGGCCAUCACCGUCAAUGGUGAGCAAUACAGAACGUUGAUGACCGAUUUUUUUUUUCCCAAAAUGAACAAUAUGGACGCAGACGACAUGUGGUUUCAGCAGGAUGGCGCUACGUGCCAUAUAUCCAAUGCCACGACAGACAUUCUAACGACAAAUUUGAGGGUAUGGUUAUCUCUUGCCGAGGAGACGUAAACCUAACCA